GAUUACUUGAAGUAAUGUCAUUGGUUCAUAUUGGCAAGGUAUUAGAGCAUCCAUAGAUUAUGUUCCUUUUUGUUCUGAGGAAGUAGUGUAUUAAUGAAGUGGAAUUAGAGACUCUUGAUUUAAUCUAUUAAUUGCUCUUGGAUUAGAUGUAGUAUUGACAGGGACCUGUGAGCAACUUUCGAAACACUCUCCUGUUGAGGUACAAGAAAUUGAAAGGGUAGGAGUUCCUUGUAACACUUGAUUCUCUUUUGCUAGGUUUCUUAUUUUUAUUUUCUUUUCACCUGCUACAUGCCCUUCUGUCACAAACAAAUCUCUCUUAAAGUAAAGUUAACUAAUCGGACAGUAUUUCUUCUAAAUCAACAGAGCAAUACUUCAAGUCAGCUGCAAUGACCCUAAACGAGCGGUUCACUUCGUAUCAGAAAGCCACUGAAGAACAUAGUACUCGGCAAAAGAGCCCUGAAAUACACAGGAGAAUUGACAUCUCACCAAGUACCCUGAGGAAGCAUACCCGUUUAGCAGGGGAAGAGAGAGUUUUUAAAGAAGAAAAUCAAAAGGUAUGUUUUUGAAUGUAAUUUUUUUUCGUGUUAAGUUCAGCUUAGUUAAUGAUAUUGUACCAAAUAUAGUUUCUCA
rnacentral:lncRNA from 1 species